rnacentral:rRNA from 1 species
AUUGAACGCUGGCGGAAUGCCUAACACAUGCAAGUCGAGCGGGGGUAGCAAUACUUCAGCGGCGGACGGGUGAGGAACACAUAGGAAUCUGCCUUUAGGUGGGGGAUAGCCAGGGGAAACUCUGGGUAAUACCGCAUGAUCUCGAGAGAGCAAAGGGGCGCAAGUCUCGCCUUUAGAGGAGCCUAUGUCUGAUUAGCUAGUUGGCGAUGUAAUGGACCACCAAGGCGAUGAUCAGUAACUGGUCUGAGAGGACGAUCAGUCACACCGGCAACUGAGACACGGUCCGGACUCCUACGGGAGGCAGCAGUGGGGAAUAUUGGACAAUGGGCGAAAGCCUGAUCCAGCAAUUCCGCGUGUGUGAAGGAGGCCUUCGGGUUGUAAAGCACUUUAGUUGGGGAAGAAACAGCUUGGCCACACCAAGCCUUGACGGUACCCAAAGAAUAAGCACCGGCUAACUCUGUGCCAGCAGCCGCCGUAACAC